rnacentral:lncRNA from 1 species
AAUCUUAUACUACACACGCUCAGCUUGACAAUAAUCUAUCUCAUUUCAUACUUUCAAUUAAAUAAAUUAAAUUCAACAUUCUGAUAAAAAAAAGUUUAAAAAUAAGAGUGAUGGCAAUAACGAACAAAAACGUUUGUUUUGGAGCACAGAAUAAAAUUAAUAGAUUAUAAAUAUAAAUACAAAUAUAAUUUCAUAUGGUAUAAGAACCAGAAGUAGUGACACGGAUUUUUAGCUAUAAAACUAUAGAUGUGGCUUUGUAAUUGAGCGUGUCG